UUAAAAUAUACUUUGUCUUUUCCACGGGUUGGGCCAUCUGGUGCAAUGUACCGGGUGUGUGUUGGUGGUGGUGGGAGGAGAGGACGGGUGGAUGGUGGAGGUGGUCUUUGUGGUCUGAGUGGUUGUGUGUGUGGGUGUGUUGGUGUGGGUCUGGUGUGUUCUGUGGUUUGAUAUGUGUGUGUGGGUCUAUUGUGGUGAUGGUGGGUGUGUGGGGGUCUAUACUGAAGGCUGGGGGGUCUAUAACGGGAUGUAGGUGUGGGAGGUAGCGUGCGUCUGUUGUGUGCGUGGUAGUGUGGCUGUGUGGUGUUGGUGUGAUUGGUGUAGGUAGGCCUCCAGGGUGAAGACACUUCAAUAAAGAUAGAUCUAUUUCAAAAGGGUGGAGCUGUGAGGGGGCUCUGACCUGCUGACGGAGAGGGUGGUGGUCCCGUGGUGGGUAGAGGAGAGGGUGGUGGUCCCGUGGUGGGUAGAGGAGAGGGUGGUGGUCCCGUGGUGGGUAGAGGAGAGGGUGGUGGUCCCGUGGUGGGUAGAGGAGAGGGGUGGGGUCCCGUGGUGGGUAGAGGAGAGGGUGGUGGUCCCGUGGUGGGUAGCCUGAGAGGGUGG
ensembl:lncRNA